rnacentral:rRNA from 1 species
GAGCCAGACUCCUACGGGAGGCAGCAGUGAGGGAUAUUGGGCAAUGGGGGAAACCCUGACCCAGCGACGCCGCGUGAGGGAAGACGGUCUUCGGAUUGUAAACCUCUGUCUUUGGGGACGAAAAAGGACGGUACCCAAGGAGGAAGCUCCAGCUAACUACGUGCCAGCAGCCGCGGUAAUACGUAGGGAGCGAGCGUUGUCCGGAAUUACUGGGUGUAAAGGGAGCGUAGGCGGGACUGCAAGUUGGGUGUCAAAUCUACCGGCUCAACCGGUAGCCGCACUCAAAACUGCAGUUCUUGAGUGAAGUAGAGGCAGGCGGAAUUCCUAGUGUAGCGGUGAAAUGCGUAGAUAUUAGGAGGAACACCAGUGGCGAAGGCGGCCUGCUGGGCUUUUACUGACGCUGAGGCUCGAAAGUGUGGGGAGCAAACAGGAUUAGAUACCCUUGUAC